rnacentral:rRNA from 1 species
GAUGAACGCUGGCGGCGUGCCUAAUACAUGCAAGUCGAGCGAAUGGAUUGAGAGCUUGCUCUCAAGAAGUUAGCGGCGGACGGGUGAGUAACACGUGGGUAACCUGCCCAUAAGACUGGGAUAACCCCGGGAAACCGGGGCUAAUACCGGAUAAUAUUUUGAACUGCAUGGUUCGAAAUUGAAAGGCGGCUUCGGCUGUCACUUAUGGAUGGACCCGCGUCGCAUUAGCUAGUUGGUGAGGUAACGGCUCACCAAGGCAACGAUGCGUAGCCGACCUGAGAGGGUGAUCGGCCACACUGGGACUGAGACACGGCCAGACUCCUACGGGAGGCAGCAGUAGGGAAUCUUCUGCAAUGGACGAAAGUCUGACGGAGCAACGCCGCGUGAGUGAUGAAGGCUUUCGGGUCGCAAAACUCUGUUGUUAGGGAAGAACAAGUGCUAGUUGAAUAAGCUGGCACCUUGACGGUACCUAACCAGAAAGCCACGGCUAACUACGUGCCAGCA